AAUAAAAUGUGCAUUGCUGGCCAGAAAUGGACAUGGCUAAGCUAGCCUAGGGAUGUGCCUAUACAUAGGCUUUCUAAGCUAUGAAAAUAAUUUGCAAGUAGAUAUAUGGACAAACUGUGAGCCAAUGGAGAUCCGCUUUUGCCUGCUGCAAGAGGAAGAUAAUUCUAGUUCCUACUACCUCUGAGCACAUCACCAUCUGUAACCUAUUUUUCACCCCAACACAGCUGGGAGAUUGAACAUGCUGGUGAGGAUUAAAGAUCUGAAUGCUGAAUAACCAUAUUACCCAUCAUGGCAGCUGGAAGCAUUAUCUAUAUUAGAACCUACUUUUAAACUUUCUGUGCCAGUUACUGUCUUUACGUUAACAGGUUUAAUAAAAUACCAAUGAGUGUCUACCGAUCUAGAUAAUUUAUAUGGUCCCCAUUGCUGUUAUAUCUGAGCAGCUAUGGAGUUACAUCUGUUGAAUCCAGACACCAUGGCCAGCUUCAGGAAUUUCUCACUUAGGGGAUGCUGUCAUUGGGAUGUGCAGUCCCCGAUAGCCCUGCAGAGCCUGAACCUUGCAACCUGCAGGGUAUGAAG